AGAGAAAGGACCGUAGGAUCCAGAAUGUUCCAAAUUGAUUUGACUGACAGACAAACGGACAGGCACACAGGCGGCAGUGAGACAGAUGGUGAAUCAUCUCCCUUGGAAAACCUGUCACUCAAGACCAAACUACAAAUCUUCAACUCAAACGUCAAGUCCACCCUUCUAUAUGGCUCUGAAACCUGGAAGACCACCACUAACAUACCCAAUAAGCUGCAGACUUUCACCAACUGGUGCCUCAGACGCCUCCAGGGAAUCUACUGGCCCAACACCAUCUCAAACGCCAACCUGUGGGAACUCAAACAAGAAACAAUAGAAACCCAAAUCCGGAGGAGGAAAUGGAAGUGGAUAGGCCAUACACUCAGAAGACAGAAG
ensembl:lncRNA